AUAUAUGUAGAUAUAUAGAUUUUUUCCUAGAAUAUAUAUGUGUAAAUUUUUUACGUCAAGUAUAUUUCUACUUUUUUCCCCUAAGGUUUUCAGUGGCCCCUCCAAGCUGAGCUAAAUGCAAAGCUGUGUCCCAGUGUCACAGCCCUUUUCUUCUCCUCGCCUCCCUGCCUGAGAGCAGAACGGCUGCCGCUUACCUUGAGAAAGUAACAGCUGCUGAGUCUGGAAGCCAUGCUAACAGCAGUAAAACUCAGCAUUUUUGCUGAGUAGGGCAAGCCUUUAAGAGGCAGCUGGGAAUCAAAUCAAUGGCUGGCCCCAGAGCCCAAGCCCAACAGUACCAAGGCCGGGUGGCCGAGGGACCUACCUAGAGAGCCUCCCAGGAGGUGGAGGAAACAAGAAAGAGGGCCUUGACCCAAACUGCUUUUAUGGCUGAGAUUCUUCCACCGCCCACCUGCCCUUGACAGUAUUUUGGUGCCAAGUGAGAGAUGCAAUGUGCAAACCGACAGCAAUUUAAGUCAAUUACUGCCACAUUCUGUCAUGAGUUCCCCACUCACAGCCCCUUUUCAAAUCGUAGAUCUCCCUCAGUACUGAAAUAAUUCUCUCUCUCUUUCUCUCUCUCUCUCUGUCUCCCCCCACCUCUCUGCCUUCUCCCAAUAUCCUUCUAACUCCAGUGGAGCCAUGGAGAGGCAUAUUUAGGAAGAGAUUCUCUGGGGGCUUCCCUGACUGAAAUGGGGAAAGAUGAAUCUAUCUUAGGAAAGUGCCCCAUCCAUCUCCUUCCAUAUCAUCCAGAGCUGCCCUUAAAUGAAAUUUCCUCUGAGACCCUUUGCAACUGUGAUGGAUAAGCAAGUCCCCGAGGACGCUUUCUCCUUUUCCCUGAGGGGGAUCCAUGCAAACUUGCCCAGAUCCUCCCCCAAAGCACCAGAAGCCUGAGGGGCUGUGUUGAUUGCCAAGAGGGAGGCAGGGUAGAUCCCUAUCCCAGACUUGCCAAGCCCCAGAUAAGGAGCCCAACACCGACUUCCCCUUUUCUCUGUCACCCACUAUCCAGUGUCUCCAAAUUCCCAUCAGAAUCCUGGAGUCUGCCCAGUGUGGAAUUUAAAGUGACAGCGUCUCAUUUGUCUCGGGGCUUGGCCAUGUCUCUUUCAUACUAAGCGGUGGGUCCCAGUGUAGCAGGAUUCCAUCGUUUGGAGGAAUUUUCCUUCAAGGGUACCAACGCUGGGCUAAAUAAGGUGUCAUCUACAUACAGCCCCAUAAUUCUCCCUAAAUCCCAAGCCCAGAGCCCCUAGAGGAAGUCCACAGUGGGUUUCCCGAUGACUACGUGAUCUUGUAGUAAAGGGGUCCCAUUCCGUGUAAGCUGGAGAGAUCCCAUUAAAAAGACACACGAGCGCACACAUACAAACACAUACGUACAAACAUGCACACACACAUCGCGCCGUAAGUAGGUUAUAGAACCUCUCUCUCUUCACCCCUCCCAUACACACACACACACACACACACACAUCACAAACACACGCAUCAAACGCAAACGACGCCGCACACGCACACUCACACUAGCACCACACCAAGUUCCCACCAUGGUGCACACGUCGGGAGCGCGCGGGGACACACACACCACUCACUCCAACCCGCAGUUAACCCUUCCAGCCCUGGGCGCAGGAACCCCUUCCCUGGAGCCGGAGAAGACUUGGAGGCGGCGGGGCGGCCAGCUCUCAGAGAAGAAAUCUGAUGGAUUCAGCUGACCCUACCAGGACAAGCUAUUUCAUGCUUCACUACCAGCCAACAAAUUGAUUCUUCCUAUAUCAAGUGACAAUGCAUAGUCCAAUUACUUCUCCUGAAUGUUAUUGUCUGUGGCAGCCAGCAGACAAUCUUCCAGGGACUCCUGCCAUACUCUGCAAUUAUAUAUGUCAUUUGGGCACCAAAUCUGGCCACAUGACUGCUCCUGCAUCUGGCAUGCCCCUGUACAUCCUGACCCUAAUGAUAUCCAAAUAUUGGCCAUGCUGGGCAUGGCUAUAAUGAAGAGAAGAAAGAGGAUGAUGGUAGAGAAGAAAAAUAACCUAUUCUGAAUUUUAACCUGAGUUCCAGGUCCUGUGCUAAUGGCUUCAUAGAGAUGAAUGAGACAUGGAGCCUCCUGUGUGGAGCUCACAACGUGAUCAUGAUGUGGUAAGCAUUUUGGAAACAAGCCACAACACAGAAGCUAGCACAUUUUGUUCUAUUGAUAGGAUCACCUAAGACUUCACAGGACAGAUGGCACUUGAUCUGGGCCUUCAAGGUUGACCCAUGCAUGUGACCAAUCAUUCACUUUGUCAUUCAUUCAUUCUUCCAUAGUUCAAGUACCAUUUUUGUGUUGGGCUUUUGGCUAAGCACUGGGCAUACAGAGAUAAUCAAACCUGAUGUAUGUAUCCAUUCACACAGCCUGAUGGUGGGGAGGGGAACACGCAAAUGACUAUUAUAUACAGUAUCACAUUACGAUGGUAGAAAUUAGUCACAUUCAAGGUGCAAUUGGAUCAUUCAUGGAAAACAUAUCCAAGUCUGCAUGUGAGGAUUAAGAGAGUUGUCAUAGUAAAACAUGGGUUAAAUUAAUAUUAAAAUAAGUCAAUCACCAA